AGCCCAGCCCCGAGCCCGCCUCCACCCAGAACCUUGACGUCGCCCCGAGGACUUUGCCUCCCGGUUUAGACCUCCCUGACCUGCUUUUGAACCUGAUAAUCCUGCCUCGAACUCUGGCCAGAAGGGAUCCCUCGCCGCGACUUGGCGCGCUAAUUCCCGCCGCCCCGCCGCCCCGCCGCUCUCCGCCCCGGACUCUGCAGGACAGGCUUCGGGCCUCUGGUUCGCAGGCGGGGACCCCCGGCAUCACCCCAUCCCACGCUCACGUGCCCUCCGACCCAAACAGACAGCCCCGUGUUGCAAACAGUCUUUCCUUUCUUGCUUUCUCUUGUGUUCCCUUACAAAGAACAAAAUCUUGGGUAACAUACUAAGCUGGUGACGCUGCGGGGGAGCUGGCAGUGCAAUGAGGGCGCGGAAAGGGGAAGCCAAAGACCAGGGCGCUGGCGAAGGCAAAAAAGGCGGGACGGAGAACAGAGGA
rfam:Myotis brandtii contig212472, whole genome shotgun sequence.